CCAGCUGCUGCCUGUGUUAAACCGACGGGUCACUUUAUCGCAUUUUUCUGGUGUUUUAUCUUCACCUGGUUUGAUUCAGUCCCUUCCCAGCAAAAAGAAAAAUAAUGACAGAUGAGCGCGAGCGGUUUGUCGGCACCAACAGACCUCACACCCGGUUUCUGCGCUGUGGAGACCUCAGGGAGAGUUUCGUUCAAGUCUGGCACAGAAAUGGGAUUUCUAUUCUGGGAACUGACGGGGUUUCUCAUUGUGAAGUGAUCUGGGCAUGCUGCCAUACUCUGGGAAGUAAGAGACUACUUAAAUACAUUUGAUGACAUGCUCCUGUGGGAAUAAUAUAAUAAUAUACUGAUACAGAAGAGGCUGAAACAACUGCAGAGGGUCCAACUUAGUUCUGAGAAGCAUGGCCGGAUUGACUUCCUAGGGGGGCCCUGGGUAUGAAGUAGCAGUGGACACCAACUGGAUUUGUAACAAAAUUAAUGAAACAACCAGUUUAUUCUAAUAAUGUGUGCUUCUGAACAAAAGUUGUCCAAACUUGCGCCACGUAGUUUCGUUUAACUGAACACAGGUUUAAUAUCUAUUGACUUGUCCAGGUACAGAGAGUGAAGAAUUUCCCCUUUUGAAGAGUUGGGGUUUUUUUUACACCCUCUUAAUAAAACUAUGUGGUUGAGUUUUGUGCAGUUAAAGACCUUGGUACAAUCUUGUGAUACUUGGUUGGGUUCAGGAAAAAGGUCGUGGUUUGGGUAAAAAUGCAAUAGUCGCAUUUUUUUCUUUGGAAAGUUUUAUUUUCUUGGUUGCCAGGGUGACACUAGCCCACUGCAGCAGACAAGAAAUUUCACACUGAAGUGCAUUAGUCUCAAAGUUGUGCUUAAUGUAAUGAAAAAUAAAGGUGGCAGUUUAUGUGCAUGUACACGAAUAAACAGAUUGCUUUUUCA